GCUGUCUUUUUUUAUUUUAAGGGGUUAACCUCUGUCUUAGUUUACUCUCCAGAUGCACACAGAGUACAUUAACUAGGCCUUAAAGUGUCCAUCGUGACAUUCUGUAAGGCUGUGAUCAAUGACAAUCCUAAUAGCAGACCUGGGUUCAAAUAUACAGUAAGUGUAUACUCAAAAAAUGUGGGGUUCAACAAGGGUUCUUCUAAGAUCCUCAAAGCUCUUUGAAGAACCUUAGAGUUCUUGGCACUGAACGUGGCCCCCAGUAGGUUCUUCCAAGAACCCAAUAGGAGGUGGGGUUCAUCAAGGAACCUCCUUAGUUGGUGGGGGUUCUUGCAGGAACCUAACUGCCCAACUGAAACAUUUAGGUGCGGGCACUUCACUGAAAAACGUAAAGAUCGCUUCAAUUUAAGGUAAGGUUUGUCCUUUGUAUGAGCUACAUUUCUAUUGUUUAAUGAUGAUACCAUCUAUCUUUUCAUAUUUGUGCCAAUCUUUCAAAAACAGAAAAUGGACACAAGUCAAUGGAUAUCAAUCAACAAAGAGGUAAGAAUAUUUUGAAGCCUGGCUGUAUUGAGUGCAGAUGACUAAACUGCUCACCUUUGUGUCUGUGUCUGCAGGUAUGAAGAUGAGGAGGCAUACAAAGACUUCACCCUCCCUACACCUCUGAUGAAUAUAACAGGAAACCUGUUUGAUCACCAUGCUCUGCUAAAUCAUUCUGGCUUUGGAUACGGAGAACAUCAACACGUUAACAUCAACACGCCAUUGGACUUGGGGCUCUGCUGGGAGUUUACCUCAUAUUUAGAUUUCUUUAUUCUGCUUUGCCACUAAAAUCAUAAUAAACCCUGAGAACUAAAA